AACGAACGCUGGCGGCGCGCUUAACACAUGCAAGUCGCACGGCGGGGCCUCGGCCCCGCAGUGGCGCACGGGUGAGUAACGCGUGGGAACCUGCCCCGGGGCCCGGGACAACCGCGGGAAACUGCGGCUAAUACCGGGUACGCCUUUCGAGGGAGAGGGCUUCGGCCCGCCCCGGGAUGGGCCCGCGUCCGAUUAGCUAGUUGGCGGGGUAACGGCCCACCAAGGCUCCGAUCGGUAGCCGGUCUGAGAGGAUGAUCGGCCACACUGGGACUGAGACACGGCCCAGACUCCUACGGGAGGCAGCAGUGGGGGAAUCUUGGACAAUGGGCGCAAGCCUGAUCCAGCGACGCCGCGUGGGUGACGAAGGCCCUCGGGUUGUAAAGCCCUUUUGCCGGGGACGAUGAUGACGGUACCCGGCGAAUAAGCACCGGCUAACUCCGUGCCAGCAG
rnacentral:rRNA from 1 species